GAAUAUUGGACAAUGGGCGCAAGCCUGAUCCAGCCAUGCCGCGUGUGUGAAGAAGGCCUUCGGGUUGUAAAGCACUUUCAGCGAGGAGGAAGGGGUUGUAGUUAAUAGCUGCAACCUUUGACGUUACUCGCAGAAGAAGCACCGGCUACCUCUGUGCCAGCAGCCGCGGUAAUACAGAGGGUGCAAGCGUUAAUCGGAAUUACUGGGCGUAAAGCGCACGCAGGCGGUUGGUUAAGUCAGAUGUGAAAGCCCCGGGCUCAACCUGGGAAUUGCAUUUGAAACUGGCCAACUAGAGUAUGUGAGAGGGGGGUAGAAUUCCAAGUGUAGCGGUGAAAUGCGUAGAGAUUUGGAGGAAUACCAGUGGCGAAGGCGGCCCCCUGGCACAAUACUGACGCUCAGGUGCGAAAGCGUGGGGAGCAAACAGG
rnacentral:rRNA from 1 species